rnacentral:lncRNA from 1 species
ACAUGCUUAAACAUUCAUAAUACAAAUUUGAACCAUUUUAUCAAAAAAAUAUUCAGGAAUUAAAGUUGAACUACACAUAUAAAGGGAACUUCAAAUUUAAACUAAAUGGAUUUUCAACUAAAUUACGACUAUAAUAAGAAAUAAAAUUACAUAGUCCUGACUGAUUGAGUUAACUACACUUGAUGAAAUGCUAUAAUAACUGUAACCUUCGAUUUCAUCCACAACGCUUGUCAAUUUGACGAACAAUAGCUUACAACAUUUCAAAAUGGCUUGAUUUGGGUUUGAGACUCACAGAUCUGGCCUAUUGAUGGCCAGACCCAUAAGUUGAAGCCAUGACAUAACAUUAUCAGUCCUUCACAAAUAGCUUGACAUGUUGUCUUAACAAACCAUUAGGAAGUCUAUAGAUUAGAAUUCAUGAUCAACAAAUUAUGAUGUGGAGAUGCCAAUAAUAGAAACUAAUAGUAAUACAUGUGCUUAAGGACAUUCAUAACAGCAGCAAACAGGUCAGAGGUGAGCGAAUGCCAAUUCAAGCCAUUCAAAUACUUAGAACAUUGCAUAAGAAGAUAUAUAACAUCAUGUAAGCACAACGACCAUCUGAAUUUCACAGAUUUCAAGCUCAAAUUGAUUGUGCUAAGCUCAGAAUCAUACAAAGUUAUCAAUGUGUACCUUAAAGCAGCAAAAGUAAGUAGAAGAGAAAAUAAGUCUCUGAAAUUCUGAGAAGAAACAGCAGCAAGAACACAAAGCAGAAAAACCAAAACCACAGCAGCCUCAAACUCAGACCAUGAAUCCCAGCAAAAGAACAUUGGGAAAUGAAAAGAAACACAGCCUGGAUUUUUUUUCUUUUGUUUUCUAGCUUUAAACUUAAAAAGAAGAUCAGAUUGAAAAAUGAGGAGAAAGAGUCUUGGAAUAUUUUUUUCAGGGCUCUCUUGCGCGUCCGAAAAUUCCUGUUUUAGAAUGCAGAAUGAGUCCUAUUAUAUAGGCUGUGUGUGUGUAAUCAGAGAGAAUGAGAGAGAGUCCCCAAAAAAAAUAGAAUUUGUCAGGCCCUCACUAAAAUUUAGGAAAAUAGCAUCUUUCAAAACUGAAUUUGGACAAUUGUCCUUGUUUCUAGAUGGUUCUUUUUAUUUCUUACCAUUUAACUUCUGAAAAUUAUUUCUUGUGACCCCAACUUGAAAUGAACUCUGAUUUUUAAAAAAAAAUGCAUUUUAGUCCCUUCUAGAGACUUCCCCAACAAACAAAUCAGAUUCCCUAAUUUUCCAAAUCCCUUUGACCCCUUUAACUCCUAUUAAUUACACAUGAGUCAUAGCAGAAAGAAAUCAUGUAAAUCAGUCCCAAUAAACAAAGAAGCAAAAUUAAUCUAAUUAACUCAAUAAUUAAGACUAAUUAGCAUGCAAUUGAGCUGUUAAAAUCACAUAAACCCUUAAAACAAAACAGACAUGUUGCGCCUUAAAACAAAUAGCCAAAAUGUUAAUUUACUGUUAAUUAACUAAUUACUAAGCUAAACUAAUUAAACUGAGAUAAACGUUCAUCAAACAAGUUCUGAUUAAACACCUAAAACACAUUGUUCUUCUCUCUUUUUUUUUAAUCUUUCUUAAAGCAAACAAAAUAACAAAACAAGAUAAAGAGGGCAAGGAUGUACCUAGUAAAGAAAAACAAAACUACCCAUCUUGAAGCGAAACAAGAGGCUCGACCGGAUUCCGAUGAUUCCGUAAUAAACUAAAGCUUACAUUAAUUAAUUGUUCUUGACAAGAACAAAUAAUUAAUGUUAGUUUCAACUCAAAACAGCUUGAACUUGAUGAAGGAAUCGGAAAGAACUAAAUUAGGUUUUCUGGCCGAUUUUAGAUCUAAAAUUCGAGGAUUUUGAGUGGUGUUUUAGGAAAAUUGAAGGUAGAUUUGGAUUGAGGAUGAAGUGAGGAGUGUGGGGUGUGAAUUUGGGCGGAUUUGGAGGUCGUUUGGUGGUGCCAAGAUGGCGACCGCUGGUGGAGGUUUGUGGGAGUUUGGGGGCGGCUAGGGUUAGGCUGAGGGAGAGAGAUGGAGAAGUGAGAGGGAUCUGAGGGGUUUGGAAGAGGGGGGGGGGUCUCCGACAGAUAUAGGGGAUUGGAGAGUGGAGUUGUGGGUCGUUCGAUCAAAGGAAAUCAACGGCUAAGAUCGACGUUACGAAAACGACGUCGUUUUGGUUUAGUGAGGAAUCUGGACCGGAUUGGGGAGGCGUUGGACCUGGGCCGCGUGAGUUUGAGGGGAAUCUUAGCAGUUGGGCUUCCUUGAGAAUGGUCCAAUACAAAUACAACCCCUUUUCUUUCUUUGUUUUUCUCUUUCUUUUCCUUUAAUUUAAAGUUCUAAUCAAAUUAAUUAAAAACUAAAUUAAAUCCUAAUUUAAAUCUAAUUUGUAGAAAUAAACUUAGUUAUCUAUUUUACUAUUUAAAUAAUUAAUUAAUUUAAACUAAUGAAAGCAAAAUUACUAAUUUGCAAUUAAGAGCUAAAAUGUAAAAAUGACCCAUAUUUUUUGUGAUUUUUCGUUUAAUAAUGCAAUUAACUCAUGUAAUUAAAUAAUAAUAUGCAAUUAAAUCUAAGAUGCUAUGCAAUGAAUAUUUUAUAUAUUUAUGGUAUUUUUUAUAAUUUUAAAUAUUAAAUAAGUAACUAAAUGCAGACAAAAUUAACCAAAAAAUCCUAAAAUUCAAUAAAAACGAAAAUAAUUUAGAAAGAUCUACUUUUGAACUUUGUAGGAGUAAUUUUAGGAAGACAAAAAUCAGGUGCUCACAACUGCCCCUCUUUGCUCCGAAACACGAAGAGUUUUUGGGCAAAGAUAAAGUGAGCAAAUACGAGCAAUUUUUUGUCCUUUUGGAUACUCCAUGGGAAGCGUUAUUAAAAAGUCUGACUGAACCUUGCUUCGGAGGUUGUCUACAUAUUCUUGGCUAUAAAGGAAUCAAGUCAGUGUAGUUCUGAAAGUUUUAGUAGCUGGGACUACCGAGAAGCUGUGAUUUCACUGUUGUUGCUGUUGUUACUGCUUGCUGACCUCAUUAUUAUACCAAAAUCAAAAUGAAAAAAAACUAAGCAAGUCUAUCAGCUAUGAGUUACAAGAUUCCUAUCUAUAUGUGAUGACCCAAAAUGUCAUCUUUUUUUAAUGAUUAAUUUUGUGUUCUAAGACCUCGAAAAUAAAAAUACUAUUUAUCAUUACUCGACUUGCGUGCGCAGUUCGUAAAAUUUUUCAGAAAGUUUUUAUGUGAAAAUGGAUUAAAAUAUGAAUUAGAGCUUUAAAACUCAACUGAGUUGACUUUGGUCAAUAUUUUGAGCAAACGAACUCGGAUCAGUAUUUUGAUAAUUCCGGUAGGUCCGUAUCGUGAAUUGGGACUUAGGCGUAUGCCCGGAAUUAAAUUCUGAGGUUCCUAGCCCGAGAUAUGGAAGUCCGUAGUGGAAUUAGGCUUGAAAUUUCGAAAGUUGAAUUUUAAGAAAGUUUGACCGAGGGGGCUGACUUUUUGAUAUUGGGAUCGAAAUCUGAUUCUGAAAAUUUUCAUAGCUCCGUUAUGUCAUUUAUGACUUGCGUGCAAAAUUUGAGGUCAAUCGGACUUGAUUUGCUAGGUUCCGGUGUUGUUUGUAGAAAUUAAAAGUUUCAAUAUUCAUUAGGCUUGAAUCUAUGUGUGAUUCAUAUUUUUAGUGUUGUUGGAUGUGAUCUGAAGAUUCGACUAAGUUCAUAUGGUGUUUUAGAACUUGUUGGUAUAUUUGGUUGAGGUCCCGAGGGCCUCGGGUGUGUUUCGGAUGCUCAACGGGUCAUUUUUGGACUUAGAGAAGUAGCAGAUUUUUCUGGUUUUUGUUGCAGAAGAUUGUUCUUCGCGUUCGCGAACGUGUGGUCAGUGGAAGCAUCACGAAAGCGAGGAGUAGGACGCGUUCGCGAAGAGUGUUUUCUGAGUGUGAGGUUUUGUUCUUCGCGUUCGCGAAGGGGAGGACGCGAACGCAAAGGUAUGGUCUGUGUGUGCAUCGCGAACACGUGAGUGGCGUCGCGUUCGCGAAGGAGAGCGAGGCAAGGAUCGCGUUCGCGAAGAAGAAACCACUGGACAGAAUGUUUAAGUUCAAAAAUGGGACUUCGUCCCAUUUUUCAUUUUUAACGAUUUGGAGCUCGGAUUGUGGCGAUUUUUGAGAGAUUUUCAGAUAAAACGUUGGGGUAAGUGUUCUUAACUCAAUCUUUGUUAGAUUACCCGAAUCUAUCACUGUUUUUAACAAUUAAUUGGUGAUUUAAGUUGAAAAAAAUUCGAAAACCCUCUUGGAUAGAUUUGAGGAUUUGAGGGUCGAACUGUUAUUGGAAUUUAGUCAUUUUGGUAUGAUUAGGCUCGUGGUUGAAUGGGCGUUCAUAUUUCGUAACUUUCGUCGAAUUCCGAGACAUGGGCCCCAUGGGCCAUUUUUGAGUUAAUUUCGGAUUUUUAUUGAAAAUGUAAUAUUUUCUUAUAGAAUUAAUUCUAUAAUUUUUGUUGACUGUAUCAAAUUAUUUAUGACUAGAUACGAGUCGACCGGAAUCGAAAAAUCGAGGAAAAGGCAUAUUACUUGAUUAAAUUGGAGCAAGUCGAGGUAAGUGACUUGUCUAACCUUGUGUGGGAGAAAUUCCCCUAGGAUUGGUAUUAAAUGUAAUGUGAUGAAAGUCGUGUACACGAGGUGACGAGUGUGUACACGGACUAAAUGUGAAGGAUUAUGUGUUCAAAUAAUGAAGAUCUUUGUUGCAUAUUAAUUAAAUUAUUAAAUCUUGAUAUAUUCUCCAUUAUUGAUUUGAUUUGUAUACCUUAAAUUUGCUUGACUUUUUCCUGCUAAUUGUUUUACCUGUUUAAUUGAAACUUGGUUUCUUUUAUAUUGUGCAUUAUUUGAAGGUUAAUUUUCUUUAAAUUAAAUAUUAUUAAUAUGAAGUAUUUGACAUUUCUAAAUUUGAUAUUGAAGCAACGUAUUAAAGAUUUUGAAAUAUUAUUUUUCUGAAUUAUUUAUUCCUGAAUAUUUCGUAAGAUUUUUGAAUUAUUUUGGUAUGAGCCGUGAGCUCUUUAUUAUUGAAAAAUAUUGUUGAUGAUUUAUUUUUGAAAAAAUUAAAAUAUUGGGCACUUGAGGUGCAGAUUGUGAUAUAUUGUGAUAUUGAUAUGCAUGCGGUGGUAUAAGGUCUGGGUAUUGAAACGCAUGCGGUAAGAUAUGGGUGGCUUGAUACGCGUGGCUAGUAGGGGUGACUACUAGAAUUCAUGCGGUGUGAUUAGGGUGGCUAAAAUGCGGGAUGCUAUUUCGAAAAAAAUAUUUUAUUUAAAUGAAUUGUGAAGGCUCCCGCGGUGAUAUAAGAAAAUGAGAUAUUGUGAAUUUAUUUAUGAUUUGGGACUACGAGGCGGUACCUCGGUAGUGCCCUUGUUGAUAUUGAUUUAUGGCCAUAGUUGCCUUCGAUUAAUUGUUGUGAUUUUCAUAAAGUUAAAAGGAAUUCUGUUUUGAUUCCACGAGAUAUUAUUUGCAAUUAUUUGGUGUCAUUAAAUGUAACAUACUAUUUGAUUCAUUUCCAUCGUCAUUUUAUCUUAUUAAAUUGUUUAAACAUUUUUUCCAUGUCAUUAUCUAUUCUCCAGUAGGGCCUGACCUGACCUCGUCACUACUCUACUGAGGUUAGGCUUGGCACUUAUUGGGUACCGCUGUGAUGUAUUCAUACUACGCUUCUGCACAACCUUUUGUGCAGAUCCAAGUACAUCUUACCAGUCUAGACGUCAGUGAGUUACCUGCACACGGAGACUUCGAGGUAUAUCUGCCAGCGUCCGCAGACUCCGGAGUCCCCUUCUGUCAUUUUAUGUUGCUUUCUUAUUUUUCUUUAGACCUUGAUACAUAGCAACAUUGAGAAUAAAUUUUUAAAAGCUUGUGACUGAUUUCUACCGGGUUUUGGGAGUUGUAAUUAUUUGAAUUGUAGUUUAUUUAUUUCAGAUAUUUAUGAUUAUUCCGCAUUAAUAGGCUUACCUAGUCUUAGAGACUCGGUGCCAUCACGACCUCCCACGGAGGGAAUUUGGGGUCGUGACCCUAUAGGUCUUCAGAAACUUGAUUUUGAAUCUUCUACAGUUCUGUUGUGCAUCUCGAAUUGUCGACUCGCAUUUUUGAGGCGAGCUUCUGCUACCUCUAACUUGAAUUGACCCUAUUCUUCAGGCGGGCUCCUACUACUGUCUUAAAGGUUGAAGUUAAUUCUGAAGUGACUUCCCUCGUUUUUCAGGUGGGUGCCUGAUGCUGACUUAAAAAUUAAAAUAAAUUCCCUCGUUCUCCAGGUGAGCGCCUGAUGCUGACUUAAAACUUGAAAUAAUUUCCCUCAUUUUUCAGGUGGGCGCAUGAUGCUGACUUAAAAUUGAAAUUUUCAGGUGGGCGCCUGAUAAUUACUUGCACUUGAAAUAAGUUCCCCCAUUCUCUAGGUGGGCGCAUGAUGCUGACUUAAAACUUGAAAUAAUUUUCCUCAUUUUCCAGGUGGGCGCCUGCCAAUGACUUGAACUCGAAAUAAAUUCCCUCAUUUUUCAGAUGGGCGCCUGCUCAUGACUUGAACUGAAAUGAAUUCCCUCAUUUUCCAGGUGGGCGCCUGCUCAUGUCUUGAACUUGAAAUAAACUCCCUCAUUCUCCAGGUGGGCGCCUGCCAAUGACUUAAAACUUGAAAUAGAUUCCCUCAUUCUCCAGUUGGGCGUCUGCUGACUCAAAACUUGAAAUAAAUUCCCUCGCUUUCCAGGUGGGUUCCUAAUGUUGACUUAACAUUUGAAAUGAAUUCCCUCGUUGUCCAUGUGGGCGCCUGCUCAUGACUUGAACUUGAAAUAAACUCACUCAUUCUCCAGGUAGGGCGCCUGCGCUGACUUAAAACUUGAAAUGAAUUCCCUCAUUCUCCAGGUGGGCGCCUACAAUCACAUUAACACAGACAAAACAAAGAAACUUUUUUGCCCCAGUUCGUACCAGGAACCUUCAUUGAGUGUUAGUUGAAUCCCAUUAUCCAGGAGGGUCCUGAAAAUUAAAAACUAGAUCCCAUUGUCUAGGAGGAUCCUGAAAAUCUGAACUUAUCUGGAACAUGCUUUCCUCAUGGAGUAUCCCUAUACAGCAAACACAAUUUGUUACCCAUGUUUCACUCAAAGAAAAUUUCGUCAGUUUUAAAAUGUGGUGGUUAGUUUGUGGCAUCCUUGUUGAAGGUAUCUUCUUCUGCCGCUACCACGCUUAAUUCUGAUUAGCUGCUUCGGCUAACAAAGAAUUGUUUGACAUUUUUGAUCGAUCCUUGACCACAAAAAACCUCUGAAUCUGAAUCCCUUACACUCAACUUGUUAUAUGGUACUUUUAUUUUGACAAUUGUUGAACCUUUGCAUUUCCUUAAAAUUCACGAAUCACUUGACCACCUGAACUUCAAUUACCGCCACAUUGCUCAUUUUGAAUCAUGUCACUUGUGAUGUGUUUGGCUGAAUCUCGCUUGGUGCAAUUAAAAAGUUGGUAAUGGGCUUUAAAGUCCUUUCUUUCUUGCAUAACAAAGACUAACUUGGCAGGGACUUAGAAAAAUAGACCCAAAAGAAAACGAAGCGAAGUGACUUCGAGAAUUAGGAAUAAAGUAGAAAUUUUUGAACAAAUAUGACUAUUUGAAGAAAAAUGGAAAAGAGACUUAUCUGAAUGAAGCAGUUGGCUCCAAUGAUCAUGACGUGCAUUUCGGAUUGAUCAGCCAAAUCCAUCCAACUAAUCACAUUUUAGUUCAUGCCAUUUCUUCAUACUUCAAACCGGGUUUCCAUAAUUCAAUUUCUCUGUAAAGUCAUGAACCUCAAUCGGCUUGUAGUGCCCCGAGGGCCAGCAAACCUCUCUCAUUUGCUCCUAUUUCAACUUACAGUUGCCUUACAGUGCCCGUAAGAGUUUUCACCAAUAAGACUCUCUCAUUAUGAAUUUUCUCUCAACUCACCAUCGCCCUACGGUGCCCGUGAGGGUUUUCACCAAUAAGACUCUCUCAUUUAUUCAUUUUUCCUUAUGCCCAUGAACAAAGGUGCUACCCAUGAUGUAAAUCAUACCUCUAUCUCACUUGACUUGGCAUCCUAAAAGUUGAUCAGAAGGUCUUUCUUUAGACUGUAGUGUAGGUUUUGGACAGGGUUAGAAAGAAAGGGUGGCAUGAAGGCUCAAAAUAAUUUAAGAUGAAGGGGUUCAAGAUUACAACUUUUGGAAUCAGAUCUUUUUAUAAAACUAAAACUUCUGCCCCAGUUUCUUCGAAUCUGGGGAAUUUUGAAUUUUUAUUUUGAUGGGACCGACCCAUAUAAGGCUGUCUACGUAUCCUUAACAGGAAUCAGGUCGAACGUAGUUCAAACUAGUAAAAGUUGUUUAUUUUUGUUACUUUGCUUUUCUUUUCUUUUUUUUUCUCCUUUCUUUUUCUCUUUUCUUUCUUUUGCUUUUCUCUUCUUCUUCUUCUUUUUUUUAUUUUUCUUUUCUAUUUCCAACUCUACUUCUGAUUCCAAAAGAGGGGUAUGAAAGAAAAUAAAUAAGGCUCAAAAAGGGGUAACAAAUGAUAAAAUUAUUUGGGAUAGCAGAAUAAAAUGCCUUCGUCAUUCCAACUUUGAAACAUGCCUAGUACAAAAUGCGAUUGAAGAUAAGUAAAGAAAUCAUACAUAAUAUCUCUUGGCUGCAUCAGAAUUGAUAGCCAUAUCCACACAUUUACCUUCUAUGUAUGUUAAAUACAAAGCACCAUUGGGCAACACCUUUGUCACAAUGAACGACCCCUGCCAGUUUGGGGCGAACUUGCCUUUAGCUUCAGCCUGAUGUGGAAGAUGCGUUUCAAUACCAGCUGGCCCAAUUCAAAUUUCCGGGGACGCACCUUCUUGUUGUAUGCUCUUGCUAUUCUUUUCUGAUACAAUUGACCACGACAUACUGCUGCCAAUCUUUUUUCAUCAAUCAAACUCAACUGCUCUAGUCGAGUUUUGACCCAUUCAUCAUCAAUUCCAGCUUCAGCAACGAUCCGAAGGGAUGGAAUCUCAACUUCUGCAGGUAUAACUGCCUCAGUUCCAUAUACCAGCAAAUAAGGAGUUGCACCUACUGAAGUACGAAUAGUAGUGCGAUAACCUAGUAAAGCAAAAGUAACUUUUCAUGCCAUUGCCUGGAACCUUGCACCAUCUUACGAAGUAUCUUCUUUACGUUCUUGUUAACAGCCUCAACGGCUCCGUUUGGCUUAGGACGAUAUGGAGUGGAGUUGAUGCAUAAUCUUGAAUUGUUGACAUACCUCUUUCAUCAAAUGAUUGUUGAGGUUAGCAUCAUUGUCUGUGAUGAUUACCUUGGGAAUUCCGAACCGGCAGAUGAUAUUUGAAUGAACAAAAUCUACCACCGCCUUCUUGGUCACGGACUUGAAAGUUACAGCUUUGACCCACUUGGCAAAGUAAUCAAUGGCCACCAGAAUAAACCUAUGCCCAUUUGAUGCUGCCAGCUCAAUUGGUCCAAUGACAUCCAUGCCCCAAGCAACAAAGGGCCAAGGUGCAGACAUUGUGUGUAACUCGGAUGGAGGGGAAUGAAUCAAAUCACCAUGCACCUGGCAUUGAUGACAUUUGCGAACAAAGUUGAUGCAAUCUCGUUCCAUGGUGAGCCAAUAAUAACCUGCUCAAAGAAUCUUCUUUGCCAAGACAUACCCACUCAUAUGCGGUCCGCAAACUUCGGAAUGCACUUCGGCCAUGAUGGUAAAAGCUUGUUUAGCAUCUACGCACCUUAGUAGUCCUAGAUCUGGAGUCCUCUUGUACAAGAUUCCCCCCAUUUAAUAAAAAUCCACUAGCCAGACGUCGAAUGGUUCUCUUUUGAUCACCUAUGGCAUGUACCGGAUAUACCCCCGACUUGAUGUAUUCUUUGACAUCAUGGAACCAAGGCACACCAUCAAGUUCCUCCUCAACCACAUUGUAAUAGGCAUGCUGAUCACGGACUUGGAUAUGCAGAGGGUCGACAUAAGUCUUAUCUGGAUGGUGUAACAUUGAUGCUAGAGUAGCCAAAGCAUCGGCGAUCUCAUUAUGAAUCCUGGGAAUAUGCCUGAAUUCUACUGACCUAAAUCGUUGACAAAGAUCAUGCAGACACUGUCGAUACAGUAUGAGCUUCAAAUCCCGAGUCUCUCAUUCUCCCUGAAUCUGGUGAACCAACAAAUCUGAAUCUCCCAAAACCAAUAUUUCCUGAACUCCCAUGUCUAUAGCUAGUCUCAAACCCAGAAUGCAUGCCUCGUACUCAGCCAUGUUGUUGGUGCAAUAAAAUCAAAGUUGAGCUAUUACGGGGUAGUGAUGCCUUGUUUCAGAAAUGAGUACAACCCCUAUUCGGACGCCUUUCAUGUUAGCAGCUCCAUCAAAGAAGAGUUUCCAACCUGGCUUUUCCUCAUGGUCAACCUCGUCAACAUACAUUACCUCUUCAUUAGGAAAAUAAGUCUUCAAUGGUUCAUACUCUUCAUCCACCGGAUUCUCGGCCAAGUGGUCGGCCAAGGCUUGGGCUUUCAUCGCGGUCCGGGUCACAUAGAUGAUGUCAAAUUCUGUGAGUAAAAUCUGCCACUUUGCAAGUCUUCCUGUGGGCAUAGGCUUCUGAAAGAUAUACUUUAGAGGAUCCAUACAAGAAAUGAGAUAAGUAGUGUAGGAUGACAGAUAAUGCUUUAAUUUUUGUGCUACCCAAGUCAGGGCGCAACACGUCCUUUCAAGAAGAGUAUACUUAACCUCAUAAGGAGUGAACUUUUUGUUGAGAUAAUAAAUGGCUUGCUCUUUCUUGCCUGAGAUGUCGUGUUGACCCAGUGCACAACCAAAAGAAUUAUCCAGGACUGUCAGAUAGAGAAUCAAAGGUCUCCCAUGCUCUGGCGGUACCAGCACAGGUGGGUUUGACAGGUACUUCUUGAUCUUAUCAAAUGCUUCCUGACACUCGUCAGUCCACUUAACCGCAGCAUUUUUCCUCAACAACCUAAAAAUGGGCUCAGAAGUCGUUGUGAGUUGAGCAAUAAACCUGUUGAUGUAGUUUAACCUCCCGAGUAGGCUCAUCACCUCAGUUUUAUUCUUUGGAGGUGGUAAUUCUUAGAUGGCCUUGAUCUUUGACGGGUCCAACUCAAUACCGCGUCGACUGACUAUGAAUCCCAAUAGUUUUUCGGACGGGACACCAAAUGCACAUUUCGCUGGAUUGAGCUUGAGGUUGUACCUACGGAGCCUUUGGAAAAACUUUCUCAAAUCCCCAACAUGGUCGGACUGCUUCUUUGAAUUUAUGAUCACAUCAUCUACAUAAACCUCAAUUUUCUUGUGUAUCAUGUCAUGAAAUAUGGUAGUCAUUGCCCUUAUGUAAGUUGCCCCAGCAUUCUUCAAACCGAAUGGCAUUACCCGGUAGCAAUAUGUCCCCCAUGGCGUGAUGAAUGCUAUCUUUUCUCCGUCUUCUUCAUCCAUCAGGAUCUGGUGAUAUCCUGCAUAGCAAUCCACAAAAGACCCGAUCUCGUGCUUGGCACAAUUGUCAAUCCAAAUGUGGAUGUUUGGUAAUGGAAAGUUAUUCUUUGGACUUGCCUUGUUGAGAUCACGAUAAUCAAUACAUACCCUGGUCUUAUCAUCUUUCUUUGGUACUGGCACAACAUUAGCUAACCAAGUGGGAUAUCGAGUGACCCGAAUGACCUUUGCGUCAAGCUGCAUUGUGAUUUCUUCUUUGAUCUUCACACUCAUGUCAGUCUUGAACUUCAUUAACUUUUGCUUGACUGGAGGGAAUGCCGGAUCAAUUGGCAAUUUAUGAACUACCAAAUCAGUGCUCAAACCCAGCAUGUCGUCAUACGACCAUGCAAAAGUAUCUUUAUAUUCAAAUAGUGCUUUGAUUAUUUCUUCCUUGAUUUGCGGUUUCAGAUGCACACUUAUCUUGGUUUCCCUGAUAUUAUCUUGAUCUCCUAAAUUGAUUGCUUCAGUUUUAUUCAGAUUAGGCUUGGCUUUUUCUUCAAAGUGAUUUAGUUCUCUACUGAUUUCCUGAAAUGCUGCUUCUUCAUCAUAUUCUGUUUCAUCACACUCUACUUCUUGGAUUGUUAUUUUAGAAUUAGAUUGGCUUUUAAGAUUUGGCUGAAAAUUCCUCAUGCAUGUCAUGUCAUUGAAACCAGCAUAAAAAGAAUUGUACAGAAAAAAAAAGAAACAAAAACAAAAAUGAAACGCUAUUAGGAAUAAUGGAAAAACGGAAAAUUGUAUUUCAUUGAAAAUAAAAAGAUAGAAAGGUUUGUACAUCAAAACAAGCAAACAUAAAAAUCUGGAUUACAACCCUGGGAUAAAUAAAAUGACAGAAAGGAAAACAAAGAAAACUACUAAAACUCCUUCCGGGUGGGGAGAGGAGUAGCUUUCCAAUUUCUAAGCUUCACAUUUGGCCCAACAAGCUGCACAUCGGCAUUACUGGAGCCUUCCCCGAUUUCUACCAUAUUAACCUCAUCAAAAAGACUCUGGAAUCUCUUGAUCAGCUCUUCAUCAAAGUCGACCACAGGUUUUGGGACUGCUGAUAUUGGGUGUUUUGCGAUCCCUGGCUUGACAAAAGACUUGGAGAUGUGUGGAACAGGAUUAGGAAGUGACCAUGCCUUUCUGUUCAAAUUUUUAGCCCUUUUCACGUCCUUCCCUGUGAGUGUGAAUCCCAAACCAAAUAUACCGAAACUUUCAUGUGGACACAUCGGAUGUGCAAUACCUUGCAGAGAUGAACCCAGACCUUUGCCUGGCACAAAAUCAUUCUUCAAUAUUUCAUUUGCUACCGUGACGGACGCGGAGGGUAGCUUUGGACCCGUAAUGCAUCCUCCCUCAGGAAUCUUCUCGACAGAUACUGUUUUGAACGUUUGGUAAACCCAUGGCCCUUUAUCAUCUUCAGCUUCAAUAAAUGGAACAGUUGUGUCAUUGUAAGCAGAUAAGUUCUCAUCACCGUGCACAACUAUUUCCUGCCUGUCCCAUUCGAACUUUACCAUUUGAUGCAGAGAAGACGGGAUUGCCUUGGCAGUAUGUAUCCAGGGCCUGCCCAAUAACAAGUUGUAGGAGACAGCCACAUCUAGCACUUGGAACUCCAUAGUGAACUCAACUGGCCCUAUUGACAAUUCGAGCAUUAUAUCACCGACAAAAUCUUUCCCUCCUCCAUCAAAGCCUCGAACACAUAUAUUGUUCAUGUGGAUCCUUUCAGUGUCAAUCUUCAACUUUUGCAAAGUGGACAGAGGGCAAAUAUUUACACUAGAACCGUUAUCGAUCAGUACCCUUGAGACAGCAGAAUCCUCGCACUUCACUGUGAGAUAAAGGGCUCGGUUGUGUUCUGUACCCUCCAUAGGAAGUUCAUCAUCUGAGAAAGUGAUCAUGUUUGCUUAGAAGAUCUUGUUAGCAAUCUUCUCCAGGUGGUUCACCGUGAUCUUAUCAGGAAUAUGGGCCUCAUUCAAAAUCUUCAUCAGGGCUUUGCGGUGUUCAUCUGAAUGUAUCAGCAAAGACAAAAGAGAGAUCUGAGCUGGUGUUUUCCUUAACUGCUCCAUAAUGGAAUAGUCUUGCAUUUUCAUCUCUUUCAAGAACUCUUCAGCCUCUUCUUCGGUGACCGGCUUCUUUACUGAGAUGUGGCCAUCCUUGAAUGGCUUGGAUUUCCUCAGUUCCUCUAGGUAAAACAUCUCCCAGAACGAGUCAGCCCUCCGGUUUCAUUGACUUCUUCCUCUACUUUUUUCCCUUUAUAUGUCACUAUCACUUGUUUGUAAUUCCACAGGACGACCUUUGUGUCAAUCAUUGGUAACUGGGUCACUGGCUUAAUAAUAACGAAGGUAAUACGAGCCCCUUCCACGAUUAUGACAGGCUUGCCCGGGAUCCCUAGCACGACCACUUUUUGCUUUUCCUGUUUCGCUUCACCAUCAAUCGGAGGCCCUUUCACAACCAAUACAGAUGGCUUCACGUUGAGCGUGCUUAGCUUCUCCGACACCCCUUCAAUUGUCAAAGGCAUUUCUUUUGCAUAAUCUGGAUCUUUAACUGGAUUACUUUCGCUAGCUCAGAUCAUCAUGAUAGACUUGGAAGAAUUAUUGGGCUCCCCAUCCUUAUGAACUAUCUCAAUCAUAUGUGUCUCUGUAUGGGCUGGCAAAGGAUUUUGGUUGAUGUUUGGCACCUCCGGGCUCUGGACCACAAUUUAAUUUGUAUCAAUGAGCUCUUGGAUCGCCUCUUCAAAUGCCAACACUUCUCUGUGUCGUGCCCUGGGGCAUCAGAACAAUAUGCGCAUCUGAGGGAACAAUGAAGGUUCCUUGGAGGUGGAUUUGGUAUCUUUGGCUCAAUCGGCCUCAAAACGUCCAAUUGCCUCAACCUUUGAAACAAAUUGGUAUAUGACUCUCCAAGAGGGGUGAAGGUUUCUUUCCGCUGCUGCCUUUCUUUUCUAUAAUCCGGCCUUGGUCGAAAUCUUGGACCAGUUGGGUUUCGGUAUAGUUGUGGGGGUGGAUAAGGAUUUUGUGGAGUUGGAGCACGCCAUUGCGGGUAAGGAGGGGGUUGCGUAUAUGACUGUGCAUGGUAAACAUGGUAUUAGGAUGGUCUGAGUGAAUAUUCAGGGUCUUGUGGUGGGAGAUAAUGUUGGGAUGGAUUAUAUGGAGCUUGGGUGUAGGCUUGGGGUCGAGGUUGGGUGUACUGGUGAGGCGAAUCCGCUGGGCCACGCCAUGAUCCAGAGACAAACAUAGCGACAUCAUCUUUCUUCUUUUUGCCUAACAGGCUUCCGGUGCCACUUUGAAUUGCCUGUGUGGUUGCUUUUAUGGCGGAGUAGCUCAUGAUCUUGAUUUACUUGAGUCCUUCUUCCACCAUUCCUCCCAUCUUUACCACAUCGUUGAAAGACUUACCUAUGGCUGAGAUCAAAUGGCUAAAGUAAGUAGGCUCUAGGGCUUGAAGAAAGUACUCGACCAUCUCUUCUUCUUCCAUUGGAGGAUUGACCCGUGCAGCUUGUUCUCUCCAUCUGAAACCAUAUUCCCUAAAGCUCUCGCUGGGCUUCUUCUCUACCUUGGUCAAAGAUAGGCGAUCCGGGACAAUGUCUAUAUUAUACUGAAAGUGCCGAGCAAAGGCCUGAGCCAAGUCGUCCCAUAUGUACCACCUGCUAGCGUCUUGGCGGGUGUACCAUUCCAAAGUUGCCCCACUCAGACUCCGACUGAAAUAUGCCAUUAAUAAUUCGUCUUUCCUACCAACGCCUCUCAUCUUGCUGCAAAAGCCUCUCAAAUGGGCCAUGGGAUCUCCAUGUCCAUUGUACAGGUCAAACUUGGGCCUCUUGAAGCCAGCGGGCAGUUGGACAUCAAGGAAUAAGCAUAAAUCCUUAUAAGCCACACUUACUUGGCUUCCUAUCCCUUGCAUGUUAUUCAAAGAUUGCUCUAAACUCUUCACUUUCCUGAAUAUCUCAUCUUGCUCCACGUUACGGGAUUAUUUCUCAGUUUCAACAGGAGGUUCAAAGUGAGGGGUGUAGGGAUAAGGAUCUGUGACUUUAAAAGUUGGUAUCUGGAGCUUGGAACGUAGGUUCACUAGAAGAUCGGUGGAGGGUAGCUUGCGGAGGAGCUACAAAAACAGGAGCAGAUGUCGGGGCAGGGUAUGCAGUUGUUUUGGCUGGUGGAGCGUGGAAAGUUUGGGACGAGGCGUCGGGGUAGUGGUGGUAAGGGGUAAAGCCCGGUGCAUGCUGAGGGGAAAGAUCAACGGUAAUGGGAUCCUGGGCUUGUGACAGUGGUGGGAUGAAAGCGGGAUUUUCUAUGUAGUUAGCGGGGAAUGAAGGUGGAGGAUGCCCCCUGAUCCAUGCUUGAUACAUUUCUGCCAUUUGAUGCUUCAACCUGUGGACCUCUUCUUUCAGUCCAGAUUCGGAUUCUACCAUCUCCCUCGGUGGGUCAACAACUCCCGUAUCUGUUUCUUUGCUGGCCAUGACUUCCUUGCGCUUUGAUCUAGUGUUAUAGGGGUGACUUGCCAGGAUGCCAACAAACUAACCACCUAAAUAGAACCUGUCUUAACAAUGCACACACAAUAACUUGGUCAAUUUUGAAGCAUUUAACAGACAGGGAAUCGCAUAUUGGGGAUGCGAUGCACCUGAGCAGUUAAACGUUUCUAAAUGCUUUGCGACGGCUUAUGUGUUUCAUCCCGGCUCUUUUCCCAAAUUCAAAUCCUGAUUUUCUUGUGCCGUGUUUCACUCUUUUAGUUCUCAUUCUCUCUUUUUUCCUUUUGUUUGGCCCUUUUUUUCUUUCUUCUAUCCUUUUUUCUUUUCCUCUCUUUUUUUCUUCUCUUUUCUUUUAUUUUAAGACUAUGAUCGAAUCAUAUGGAGAUUGCCUACGUAUCAUGAUGCCGCAAGAAUCAGAUCAUUACGUAGUUCAAGGAUAUAAAUACGAAAUGAAAGAAAAUCUUUUGGGUUUUCAAUACUUCAUUAAUAAAGUCACGUCAUCUUUUUUUGUUUUCUAUUACAAGGACUUAAAAGUACUGACGACUACAAAAGAAAACAUACAGACUCGAAAUAAACAGCUUUGAACAAAACUCUAGAAAGCAGUAAAGUACAGACUCGAAAAACUGAAAAGUCAAAAGUACAUGAGAGCCUCCACUAGUACUCUGGGAGCCUGCGAGACAUCAGCUGGUCUUUGCGCGGGCCUUCGCGCAAUGUCUUCUUUAAGGCCGUUUAAGUCAUCUAUUACCUGGUGGACGAAGGUCAUCAUAAAAGCAAAAAAAAUGGACCUAGUCAUGUCUUCACACUCGUGACAUUUCAUCACGACAUAGUGAGCUAUCUCCUUAAUUCUGGUUCUGAUAACUCCUUUUUCUUGAAGCAGACGCCCAAUUUGCUGUGCCCGGGCUUCCAACACUUGUGUGCUGGUAUUGUUUUGGUCCUGUAGUUGUUGCACACUUUCUUCUAGUCGGCCAAUUAGUGCGUAGCAGUGCUCCUUUUCUGUCUGAAAAUCUUUGAUUUGCUGGAUCAUUUCAUUCUCAAGGGCAAACAGCUUUUCCUUUAGAACUGUUAUUUCUUUGCCAUAUUUUUGUCUCAAAUGGUGGGCUUGUUCUUCUGCUCCUUUGGCCAACAUUGUUUGAGCAUUUAGCAAAUUCUUUUCGGCCUUUAUCAAGUCAGUUGCAUAGUCGUGUACCUACAUUCUUAUGUUACUGAUGAUUUUUUCAUAUCUUUCGAUCCUUACAGGCGUUUCGGCGGCUAUCCUCAUGUCCCGGAGUUGGGCUCGGAGAGCCUCGUUCUCUCGGGUCAAUUUUCUCUUUUCACCUUCGGUUACCUGUGCCUGUAAGUCAUUCUCAAAUGCGAGGUUCCUCAACUUUUCCUCUAAGGCGUGAAUGGUGGCUUGAUAUUUCUUUUCCUUUUCUCCCCAGGCCAAAUGCUCUCGGACUUUGUCAUCAAAAGCCUGAAUAUGAGGCCUUUUGGCGGGCCUUUCAGGCUCGGGCUCUGGUUCAUCAUUAAUGCAGUUUCUUCUUUCGAACCAUGUGGCAUAGCCUGGAUCUACUUCUCCUCUUGCAAGAUCGGGCACUUGGGUGUCCUCUUUUAAGUAUCGACAACCAUUCCAGAUUUGUUGGAUUAAAGCCUCGGAAAGUGGGGCUUCGGGGUAUAGCUCAAUAACUUGGACACUCAAAUCUUCAUCCUCAGGCACCACUUGAUAUCUUCCCAAUUGUCUUAGAACCCUUUGCGGUGCAUAUGGUUGGACACUUCUCAAGCCCAUCAAUAGCAAAUCGUUCUUUGUGGUUGUCAUGUGUAUGACUUCCCUCACUUGGAGCCAUCCUAAAGUCCACUCAAUUCGAUUCGCCUUUAAAGUUCUCAAGUGGGCGAUCCAAGAUUCAACCCCUUCUGGAGAGUUGUAAUCUUUUACCCUCUCCUCAUAACUCUCAAUGAAGUUGCUCUUGCUUGGGCUGUAGCUUAUAAAUUUUUGAUGAAGGCGAAGAUGUUCAAUUAACCACAUUUGUAGAAGGAUAUUACAACCUUCAAAGAACGUCGCCCCAGACUUACACCGUGUUAAUGCCCGAUAGAUAUCCGACAAUAUAAGUGGAGCAAGUGUGUGAUCUUCUUUGGCAGUUAUGACUUGUGCAAUUCUAGCCAUACGGAUAUCAAUCGUCCCUUUUUCAUUUGGGAAGACUAUGAUGCCCAGGAAUGCCACUAUGAAAGCAAAGUGACGAUGAAUUUUCCAAGUAUCUUUACUUUGCUUGUUGUUCAACCCCUUUUCAUGCGUUUCAAACCCAUUUGGAUGUCUAUACCUGGAGUACAGGAAGUAGAAAGAGCAACAUCCAUUGUUUAUAUUGUUCUUCCUUAUUUGUUUACUGAUGUUCAAAAUAUCAAAGAACCGGCGCACAGAGGGAGGCCUUGGGAAUAUAAGUUGCUAUUUUCUCAAGUUCCGGCCGAAACCAGUAUAUCCGGCUAUUUCCUCUAGGGUGGGAGUGAGCUUAAAGUCUGAGAAGCGGAAGACAUUGUGAACGGGAUCUCAGAAGGGCACUAAAGUCUUGAUCAGAUCAUUCCGGGGCUUGACCUUCAUAAUAUCCGUAAGAGCACCCAAAUGUUCUACUACCCAGUCUUGACCAUCUUUACCCAAGUCAUACCACCACAUUUGAAGCUAUAGUGGAGCCUGCUCUACAAUAUUUCACGGCGGGUUCUAGACAGUGUUCAUUUUGUACGUGUGAAUGGUUAGGGUUAGGGUUGACUCUAGUUCGGAAGACAGACCAGCAGACUCUUUUGCAAAAACCAGUUUUCAAUUUUGUUUCAAAGGGAAAUCACCUGAAGGUGACUAUUUGUGCGGCGUUGGCCAAAAUGGUCAUCUUUGCAAUAAUGGCCCCUUCCCACUUUCAAAUAAAGUUUUGAGGCCGAGGUAAGACACUUUAUGGGAAAAGUGAUGCCUUAUUGACAGACAUGUCCGUUCUUGACGAGACUAGCCAUUUGAUAAUUUAAAGGUAUUCUAUGGCUAUUCUGGCAAAAACGGCGCAGGACUUAAUCGAAGCUGGGUCGGUUUUAUUUUCUAACCAAUGGACAUACUUUAUUUAUUUGAUUGGAAAAAUUGGGGUCGGUACCGAUGAGAUUUGCUUACGUAUCUCACAUCCGGUGAGAAUCAGACUCGUGUAGUUCGGUCAGUUUUGACAUAAUUGGAAGAGCAUGAUAUUGAUUUACUUUCAUUUUUGAAAUGCAUUUUUUUUCUUUUUUUUCAAAACUUUUGGCAGAGUUUCGAGGCAUUUUCAAAUACCAGGGUUUUCAGAACCGGGUGAAUUUUCUAUCCUACCUCACUCUUGUUUUUUCUUUUAUUUUCUUAACCGAUCAACAAAUAAGCCGAAAUAAAUUCACACAUAGCAGGUAAGAUGCAUCAGGAUGGUCUUUAUUUCGGGUAUACUUGUCCUAGACGGACCCAACCCCUAUGUUGAGUCCCCUAAAUCAAACGCACGUGAUGCAAACAAACGUUCCUACUAGGGAUCUGGCAUAAGGUUAUGUUAUUCUAGGUUUAAACCUGGGGGUGUGUUCUAGACAUGGCUUACCCAAGCGGGACAACUUGAGCCGUGGUGGGAGCGACGUACCGGGAGCACGAAAGUCUACCCGGCCUAAUGGCUGAUCCAUCCUCGUUUUAUUUGGUAUGACCUCUAACAGAAAAGUGGGCCAUACAUACGUGUGCACCAUAUUUUUAGAAGACUCGGAAGGGAGGCGUAAGAAAAUAAUUUAAUAUAGUUCAAAUAAUAUCAAAGCGGUAAAUGAGCGGCAAUUAGCACAUUAGACCCACAAAUACAGUAAUAACGAUCAAUAAAGCCAAGUAAAAAUCACAACAACAAGCUCGAAUUCUUGAACCCUGAACCAGAGAUUCUGGGUUCGAUCCCCAACAGAGUCGCCAGAACUGUCACACCUCAUUUUUCCCGAGGGGGAUAGAGAGUUUUUCCAAUUAAAGUGACAUUAUUCAAAAUCGUAUUAUUUAAUUAUUUCAGAGUCGCCACUUGGGAUAAUUUAUGGUGUCCCAAGUCACCAGUUUAUUUUAAAUCCCAAAUCGAGGAAAUUUGACUCUGUUUAACGUCUGCGAAAAUCAAAAGACCGGGUAAGGAAUUCUGUUAACCCGGGAGAAGGUAUUAGGCACUCCCGAAUUCCGUGGUUUUAGCAAGGUUGCUUUAAUCAUACAUGGAUUAAUUAAAUUGUUUAAUUACGUGUUUUAGAACCUAUGUGCGUUUUACCUUUUACCGCUUUUAAAUUACUUUAUUAUGGCAUUAUGGAAUUAUCUUGAAAAUGAACCACGUGUGUGUGAAUCUGUUUGUUUGGUGUGCCAAAAAUCAUGUCACGCGUACGUGUACACAAUUAAUAACAAUUUAUUAAAAUUGUUCGGCCAAAGUCGCGCGAACGCGUACUUUGAUUUAUUUGGGAAAAUUAUAAUCAUGUAACGCGAACGUGUACACAAUUACGAUAAUAGAUUAAAUGUGUGCCUAAAAGCAUUUCUACAGGUGUUCAUGAAUUAAUUAUUUUUCUAGGAUUUGAGAUUAAUGUGAGGCCAUGAAUCAUGUAUAAGAGUGUGGAAGAAGCGUACAUUUCAACUAAUGAGAGCUAGAAGAAUUAAUUAAAUCUAAGUUGUUGGAAUUGUCUGAUGAUUGAUAGACAUUCACCUUUAAAAGGAAAAUGGGUCAUCCUAUGAACAAAUAAUUGACGCUGAAUCAAUUAUUGAUAGAGUGUCAAACAGACUUGAAUUUCGGCUCAGGUCCAGUUUUAUAAAGUACCUCAUAAUCCCAAUUAUUUCCCCAUUACUACGGUGGCCCAGACUUAUUUGUGUGGCAAUAAUUGCAGAGAAUUAAUCAGACACUUUACCAAGUCAAUUUAUAACACCAAGUCAGCUAAGUUCAUAUCCCAAAACGUAAUAAGCUACAUUUGAAGAAGAAAAGCACUAGUACAAUGGUUCCAAUUAUAUAAAUAAUUUCCUAAUGAAUUACUCAUGCCAUUAAGCUCUUGUGAUUCAAAUUUCAGUCUACUUUGUCUUAAAGUUUACUGCUCAAACAACUGCUUUUAACAUUCAAACGAAUUCAAAAUUGUGACUGAAAAUCUGUACAUAUACGCCUCAAACAGAUCUUUCACCAAGUGCUACAUUCACUAAAUCUCCGUUGGUCUCUAUUACCAAUGAUAGAAAAAUAAAACAACAUGCUUAAACAUUCAUAAUACAAAUUUGAACCAUUUUAUCAAACCAAUACUCAAGAAUUAAAGUUGAACUACCCAUAUAAAGGGAACUUCAAAUUUCAACUAAAUGGAUUUUCAACUAAAUUAUAACUAUAACAAGAAAUAAAAUUACAUAGUCCUGACUGAUUGAGUUUACUACACUUGAUGAAAUGCUAUAAUAACUGUAACCUUCGAUUUCAUCCACAACGCUUGUCAAUUUGACGAACAAUAGCUUACAACAUUUCAAAAUGGCUUGAUUUGGGUUUGAGACUCACAGAUCUGGCCUAUUGAUGGCCAGACCCAUAAGUUGAAGCCAUGACAUAACAUUAUCAGUCCUUCACAAAUAGCUUGACAUGUUGUCUUAACAAACCAUUAGGAAGUCUAUAGAUUAGAAUUCAUGAUCAACAAAUUAUGAUGUGGAGAUGCCAAUAAUAGAAACUAAUAGUAAUACAUGUGCUUAAGGACAUUCAUAACAGCAGCAGACAGGUAAGAGGUGAGCGAAUGUCAAUUCAAGCCAUUCAAACACUUAGAACAUUUCACAAGAAGAUAUAUAACAUCAUGUAAGUACAACGACCAUAUGAAUUUCACAGAUUUCAAGCUCAAAUUGAUUGUGCUAAGCUCAGAAUCAUACAAAGUUAUCAAUGUGUACCUUAAAGCAGCAAAAGUAAGUAGAAGAGAAAAUAAGUCUCUGAAAUUCUGAGAAGAAACAGCAGCAAGAACACAAAGCAGAAAAACCAAAACCACAGCAGCCUCAAACUCAAACCAUGAAUCCCAGCAAAAGAACAGUGGCAAAUGAAAAGAAACACAGCCUGAAUUUUUUUCUUUUGUUUUCUAGCUUUGAACUUAAAAAGGAGAUCAGAUUGGAAAAUGAGGAGAAAGAGUCUUGGAAUAUUUUUUCAGGGCUCUCUUACGCGUCCGAAAAUUCCUGUUUUAGAAUGCAGAAUGAGUCCUAUUAUAUAGGCUAUGUGUGUGUAAUCAGAGAGAAUGAGAGAGAGUCCCAAAAAAAAAAUAGAAUCUGUCAGGCCCUCCCUAAAAUUUAGGAAAAUAGCAUCUUUCAAAACUGAAUUUGGACAGCUGUCCUUGUUUCUAGAUGGUUCUUUUUAUUUCUUACCCUUUAACUUCUGAAAAUUAUUUCUUGUGACACCAACUUGAAAUUAACUCUGAUUUUUUUAAAAAUGCAUUUUAGUCCCUUCUAGAGACUUCCCCAACAAACAAAUCAGAUUCCCUAAUUUUCCAAAUCCCUUUGACCCCUUUAACUCCUAUUAAUUACACAUGAGCCAUAGUAGAAAGAAAUCAUGUAAAUCAGUCCCAAUAAACAAAGAAGCAAAAUUAAUCUAAUUAAUUCAAUAAUUAAAACUAACUAGCAUGCAAUUGAGCUGUUAAAAUCACAUAAACCCUUAAAACAAAACAGACAUGUUGCGCCUUAAAACAAAUAGCCAAAAUGUUAAUUUACUGUUAAUUAACUAAUUACUAAGCUAAACUAAUUAAACUGAGAUAAACGUUCAUCAAACAAGUUCUGAUUAAAUACCUAAAACACAUUGUUCUUCUCUCUCUUUUUUUUUUUUAAUCUUUCUUAAAGCAAACAAAAUAACAAAACAAGAUAAAGAGGGCAAGGAUGUACCUAGUAAAGAAAAACAAAACUACCCAUCUUGAAGCGAAACAAGAGGCUCGUCCGGAUUCCGAUGAUUCCGUAAUGAACUAAAGCUUACAUUAAUUAAUUGUUCUUGACAAGAACAAAUAAUUAAUGUUAGUUUCAACUCAAAACAGCUUGAACUUGAUGAAGGAAUCAGAAAGAACGAAAUUAGGUUUUCUGGCCGUUUUCAGAUCUAAAAUUCGAGGAUUUUGAGUGGUGUUUUAGGAAAAUUGAAGGUAGAUUUGGAUUGAGGAUGAGGUGAGGAGUGUGGGGUGUGAAUUUGGGCGGAUUUGGAGGUCGUUUGGUGGUGCCAGAAUGGCGACCGCCGGUGGAGGUUUGUGGGAGUUUGGGGGCGGCUAGGGUUAGGCUGAGUAAGAGAGAUGGAGAAGUGAGAGGGACCUA